AAGAAUUUUAAUAUAAUUAAACACUAAUACAUACUAUAUAAAAUUUGUGUAGUCGUUUCCUGGUUUUAAAAUUUGUUAUAAUUCUUAUAAAAAUGAGAACUGUGUGAACUAUGUAAGGAAAACUAACACAACAAGUAUUUUGGAAGUAGUGUUUAACAGGUCACUUGCAAACAACUUACUGACAAAUCCACUCAUUCUACUAGGAAAGAAAAUAAGUAUUUGGCAAUGCAGUCAGCGAAUUUAAAUAAUCAUAGGCCAUAUGGAAAUUGAACAGCUUGAAAUAAACAGAUAUAUUUUCAGGGCACUUUAGAGGGCAGAAGUAGCACUAUGUUGCCUUUAAUGCAUCAGCGGCAAUCGGUUUCUAAGUAUCGCUAUAACUUUAUACUUGCGUUGAAAACAAAAAUAAAAGCUGUCCAUGUUUCCACUAAAACUUUUAGUAAUAAAAUGAGAAGGAAAAAAGUAGCAUGCUGGCAAUUACAAAAAGGUUGUUGCCAAACUGGACAAGUGCGAAAAUUACCGACUGAGACACCAAGAAGUUAUUUUUACAAUUCUUUGAGUUCAAUAGACAAUUUGGCAAUCAUUUAUUUGCAUAAGCUCAUUGGACGCAGCUACAAGUGUAAAACAAUUUUUAGAAAAUCCAGUUCAGAAAUUAAGAGGUGUUUUCAACACUUGUUAUAUAGCAGAAGAGUUAGAAAUUUACUACUUAAAGGUUGGG